AUGCUCACAGGGAAAGAAUAUUGCACAUUCUUUAAAAAUAGAAGAAGCCACAGAAUCACUGUGUUUGUACUCAGGACAUACAAGAAAGGUUUGUCUCUAGGUAAUGAGUGUUUUCUUUGGUUUUUACUGGCUCCCCUUUGUAUGCUUGCAUUUUCCAUUAAUUCUAUGAUAAACAUGCACUGCUUUUGUAGUAAGAAACACGAAUAUAAUAGAAAUUGUGAAAGAGGAAACAACACAGAGCCCCUGUCCUGGCCUGUGUGGCCUCCAGUGGGGAGUGGGGAUUUGGUCACAGCGCUGGCCCACCAGCACCCGUGGGGAACUGGUCUUCGCUGUGGACACCCGCUGGCCCCAAGGAUGCCUGCCCUUGCCCAAGGCCAUCCAGCCAUUGGCCCCUGCUCUCUCCACUAUUCUUUAAAAAGAUCUGCGCCUCUACUCUGUGCCCAGGACUCCAGGACAAGCCCGUGCCACGCAGAGUACCCGGGAAACCGGAAAACAGGUAGCCUGUGUUGCGUAGGUUCCAGGGGUCAGGCUUGGACCCUCUCUUGGCCACAGGGAAUCACGGCGGUUGCCUGUCUGUGACCACGCCUCCCUAAGAGGUUCCCAACCAGAUUUGCCAACAAACAGCCAGGGUGGCUGCGGUGGUCAGGAGCUACGAGCAGGGCCCGGCGGACCACGGUAACCAUGUGCAUCCAGAGAUCCCCGGAGAGGGCUCCGGCCACAGCCCGCCAGAAUCCCCCAACUUCGCCCAGGAGGAAAGCUGCGCCCAGCAGAGGCCGCGGGGUGCCCGUUCCGUGGAGGGGAGAGGCGAGGAGCUCCGGGUUACCGGACACCGCAGAUCUUCCUUGCCCCGUGGGCCUGCGUCGAGGUCUGGGACCCAGCUCCUCCGAUCUCGCCACCCCUUGAGUGGGGCUCCAGCGCCAGAGCCGCUGAGCCCGGGCUUCCGGAGACCCGGGCCAGGGUCCGGGCGAACGGGGGCGCUGCGGGGCCGGGCCGAGGGCGCUGCGUCCGUUGGCCUCUGAGUGUUGGGAACACUGGGCCUCGUGACCUCCCAGGGCCUUGGAGGGGCAGCGGGAAGAGAUCCAUACGGAGAAACCCACCCAGGGCUGGGCAAAGGGAUAUAAAGGCCCAGCCCUCAGCCCACCUGGAGCUGCUCAACUCACAGAAAGCCAGAACUCAUUUACUAAAAGAACAAACUUUAAGAGGAAGUUUGAGACAGUAAUAGCAGCAACAUCUCAGAGAAAGGCAGAG
rnacentral:lncRNA from 1 species